rnacentral:rRNA from 1 species
CCCNGGAGGGCUUAAAAACCCGGGGAAUAAGGAAUUUUUGGAACCCGGCAAGGGGUUCCAAAGAGGGGNGAGACGGCCGUUUGCGGUCACGUUAUAGAGGGAUCCGCGCCGUAUUAGCUAGUUGGUAAGGUAACGGCGUACCAAGGCAACGAUACGUAGCCGACCUGAGAGGGUGAUCGGCCACACGGGAACUGAGACACGGUCCAGACUCCUACGGGAGGCAGCAGUAGGGAAUCUUCCGCAAUGGGCGAAAGCCGGACGGAGCAACGCCGCGUGAGUGAUGAAGGUCUUCGGAUCGUAAAACUCUGUUAUCAGGGAAGAACAAACGUGUAAGUUAACUGUGCACGUCUUGACGGUACCUGAUCAGAAAGCCACGGCUAACUACGUGCCAGCAGCCGCGGUAAUACGUAGGUGGCAAGCGUUAUCCGGAAUUAUUGGGCGUAAAGCGCGCGUAGGCGGUUUUUUAAGUCUGAUGUGAAAGCCCACGGCUCAUACCGUGGAGGGUCAUUGGAAACUGGAAAACUUGAGUGCAGAAGAGGAAAGUGGAAUUCCAUGUGUAGCGGUGAAAUGCGCAGAGAUAUGGAGGAACACCAGUGGCGAAGGCGACUUUCUGGUCUGUAACUGACGCUGAUGUGCGAAAGCGUGGGGAUCUAACAGGAUUAGAUACCAAUGGUAGUCCACGCCGUAAACGAUGAGUGCUUAAGUGUUAGGGGGUUUCCGCCCCUUUAGUUGUUGCCAAUAACUGUCAUUAAUGCAUUCCGC